ACGUCAAAUACCAAAUUUUAAUAUUCCGUCAGAAGAAAGUCAAAAAGCCAAAUCAUUUAUCUUUGAAAAGGCUUUCAAUACACAAAUUGAGUUCAAAAACUGAAAUGUAUCCUCAUUCUAUCCAGAAGUGUAACUCAGUAAAAGUAAAAAAAACCAAAUCAAUGAAAGAAAACCAGAAGACCAUGGACGAUAUCAAAAGGACAUUAUUGCGGGAAGAUUUUAGAUUUAAAUUUAAGAAACAUGUAUUAAAGGAUGCAAGGAUGAGGGCAGCGAUAAGAUAUGUUUUAUCGCAUCGCCAACCACGACGUAUCACUGUGUUGCAUGAUCGUAAAACAUUUGGACCAUAUCGAACUAUUCUAUUGAAAACAUCCUCUUCAACGGACAUUCGAGUUUUGUUUGGGGCCUUCCUAAACCAAAGGACUUAUGAUGUAAUCAAAAGAGUAUCCUCAACAAGAGUGGUAAUCGACCGUGCUUGGUUGGACCGAAAAACCGUCUUGGCGCCUUCGUCACCAAAAUGUUUUAUUUUGAAUUCGCUCAAUCAAUAAUAUAGUGAAUUAUGACUGGAUGAACUCUAGAUAAAUAAUAAUAUGAUGAUGAUCAGAAUAAUGUA